rfam:Aspergillus parasiticus ST-1 401, whole genome shotgun sequence.
CUUUUUCGAACACACACGGAUCUGUGUCCAGCGAUCCUGAGCGUGGAGGCUUGUCUUCUGCGUCUUGGUUGAUUACUGGACAGUUCGACGACUUAAGGAGCCAUCACAUUCAUGGAUGGUCGAUUAUUUCCGGUCGACAGAUCUCAGAUUAAAGGUCGACAUUGGGUGUUCGCUCUGGUCUUGAGCUCCCUUCCUUUCGGGGUUGGUGAGCUCGGCUGGAGAGCCUGAUGCUCGGCGGCGUCAUAUUCCUACUCCCUUUACCGAUUUGGCCGUCGGCCCAUGAGGUUAGGGAAAAACCAUGGCCAGCCAACAUAC